rnacentral:rRNA from 1 species
GUGCCAGCCGCCGCGGUAAUACGAAGGGGGCAAGCGUUGUUCGGAUUUACUGGGCGUAAAGGGCGCGCAGGCGGCUCGCCAAGUCAGAUGUGAAAGCCCCGGGCUCAACCUGGGAACUGCAUUUGAGACUGGCGAACUCGAGUUCGGGAGAGGAUGGCGGAAUUCCCAGUGUAGAGGUGAAAUUCGUAGAUAUUGGGAAGAACACCGGUGGCGAAGGCGGCCAUCUGGACCGAGACUGACGCUGAGGCGCGAAAGCGUGGGGAGCAAACAGGAUUAGAAACCCCCGUAGUCC